GGUGGCUCAGUGGUAAAGUGCUUGCCUUGCAUGCAUGAAGCCCAGGUUCGAUUCCUCAGCACCA
rnacentral:tRNA from 1 species